rnacentral:rRNA from 1 species
UACAGAGGGUGCGAGCGUUAAUCGGAAUUACUGGGCGUAAAGCGCGCGUAGGCGGCAUUGCAAGUCGGGUGUGAAAUCCCCAGGCUUAACCUGGGAACUGCAUUCGAGACUGCAUUGCUAGAGUAUGGGAGAGGGAAGUGGAAUUUCCGGUGUAGCGGUGAAAUGCGUAGAUAUCGGAAGGAACAUCAGUGGCGAAAGCGGCUUCCUGGACCAGUACCGACGUUCAGGCACGAAAGCGUGGGGAGCAAACAGG